rnacentral:rRNA from 1 species
GAUGAACGCUGGCGGCGUGCCUAAUACAUGCAAGUCGAGCGAACAGACGAGGAGCUUGCUCCUCUGACGUUAGCGGCGGACGGGUGAGUCACACGUGGAUAACCUACCUAUACGACUGGGAUAACUUCGGGAAACCGGAGCUAAUACCGGAUAAUAUAUUGAACCGCAUGGUUCAAUAGUGAAAGACGGUUUUGUUGUUACUUAUAGAUGGAUCCGCGCCGCAUUAGCUAGUUGGUAAGGUAACGGCUUACCAAGGCAACGAUGAGUAGCCGACCUGGGAGGGUGAUCGGCCACACGGGACCUGAGAAACGGUCCAGACUCCUACGGGAGGCAGCAGUAGGGAAUCUUCCGCAAGGGGCGAAAGCCUGACGGAGCAACGCCGCGUGAGUGAUGAAGGUCUUCGGAUCGUAAAACUCUGUUAUUAGGGAAGAACAAAUGUGUAAGUAACUAUGCACGUCUUGACGGUACCUAAUCAGAAAGCCACGGCUAACUACGUG